CUGUUCGGUCUGAAAGUUUCCAAACCACAAACAAAAUAGAUCUGAACUAAACAAAAACAGCAAACAAGCAAAAUCCCAGAUGGCUUGAUCACAUUUGUUUGUAUUAGUAACGCAUGCAAGCAGCUUUAGUACUGGGUUCCUGUGAGCUGGCCUUGCCGGCCACUUACAAGGUCCCUGCAUAGGUGCCCUCUGGCCUUCUUGUUGCUGUGGCCACUGGUGUCUGAGGCCUACUGGAGCUGGUGUUGCCCUGCUCAAAGGCCUGAGGGGAGCUCUGGCCAUCAGCGGGCAGCUGCUCUGGGGCAGCCACCUCCUGGAUAACAGAGCCACCCCCAUCCACCUCCUCAUUAGCCUCAAAGGCAGGGUUGGCUGAAGUGCUCAGAUCGACAUUCACCGCAUCAGUUCUCAGAGCCACGAUGGUGGCUGCAUCACUUCGUCGCUCAGCAUAGAUGCGCUGCUCAAACACCUGUGGAGCCGCAG
ensembl:antisense Gm13554 predicted gene 13554